AUACGGAGGGUGCAAGCGUUAUUCGGAAUCACUGGGCGUGAAGGACGCGUAGGCGGGUUGGCAAGUCAGAUGUGAAGUCCUACAGCUUAACUGUAGAACUGCAUUUGAAACUGCUAACCUAGAGUAUGGGAGGGGGAGAUGGAAUUAGUGGUGUAGGGGUAAAAUCCGUAGAUAUCACUAGGAAUACCGAAAGCGAAGGCGAUCUCCUGGAACAUAACUGACGCUAAGGCGUGAAAGCGUGGGGAGCAAACAGGAUUAGAAACCCGAGUAGUCC
rnacentral:rRNA from 1 species